rnacentral:rRNA from 1 species
CCUACGGGAGGCAGCAGUGAGGAAUAUUGGUCAAUGGGCUUACGCCUGAACCAGCCAAGUCGCGUGAGGGAAGACUGCCCUAUGGGUUGUAAACCUCUUUUGUCAGGGAGCAACGCCGGCUACGUGUAGCCGGACUGAGAGUACCUGAAGAAAAAGCAUCGGCCAACUCCGUGCCAGCAGCCGCGGUAAUACGGAGGAUGCGAGCGUUAUCCGGAUUUAUGGGGUUUAAAGGGUGCGUAGGCGGAAUGCCAAGUCAGCGGUAAAAUCGCGGGGCUCAACCUCGCCCCGCCGUUGAAACUGGCGUUCUUGAGUGGGCGAGAAGUAUGCGGAAUGCGUGGUGUAGCGGUGAAAUGCAUAGAUAUCACGCAGAACUCCGAUUGCGAAGGCAGCAUACCGGCGCCCAACUGACGCUGAAGCACGAAAGCGUGGGUAUCGAACAGGAUUAGAUACCCCGGUAGUC